rnacentral:rRNA from 1 species
AACGAACGCUGGCGGCAGGCCUAACACAUGCAAGUCGAACGAGAAGCCACCUUCGGGUGGUGGACAGUGGCAGACGGGUGAGUAACGCGUGGGAACGUGCCUUUCGGUUCGGAAUAACCCAGGGAAACUUGGGCUAAUACCGGAUACGCCCUUCGGGGGAAAGAUUCAUCGCCGAAAGAUCGGCCCGCGUCGGAUUAGCUAGUUGGUGGGGUAAUGGCUCACCAAGGCGACGAUCCGUAGCUGGUCUGAGAGGAUGACCAGCCACACUGGGACUGAGACACGGCCCAGACUCCUACGGGAGGCAGCAGUGGGGAAUAUUGGACAAUGGGCGCAAGCCUGAUCCAGCCAUGCCGCGUGGGUGAAGAAGGCCUUAGGGUUGUAAACCCCUUUCAGCGGGGAAGAUAAUGACGGUACCCGCAGAAGAAGCCCCGGCUAACUUCGUGCCAGCCGCCGCAGUAAAAC